AUGUAGGGCAAUCUGUCUUUAAGUAGGGGUAAAUUACUCUUAAAAAGAUUCCUAGAUAGUUUUCCCUUCAAGUCAAGUGUCUUGU
rnacentral:pre_miRNA from 1 species